GAUGAACGCUGGCGGCGUGCCUAAUACAUGCAAGUCGAGCGAACGGACGAGAAGCUUGCUUCUCUGAUGUUAGCGGCGGACGGGUGAGUAACACGUGGAUAACCUACCUAUAAGACUGGGAUAACUUCGGGAAACCGGAGCUAAUACCGGAUAAUAUUUUGAACCGCAUGGUUCAAAAGUGAAAGACGGUCUUGCUGUCACUUAUAGAUGGAUCCGCGCUGCAUUAGCUAGUUGGUAAGGUAACGGCUUACCAAGGCAACGAUGCAUAGCCGACCUGCGAGGGUGAUCGGCCGCACUGGAACUGGGACACGGUCCAGACUCCUACGGGAGGCAGCAGUAGGGAAUCUUCCGCAAUGGGCGAAAGCCUGACGGAGCAACGCCGCGUGAGUGAUGAAGGUAUUCGGAUCGUAAAACUCUGUUAUUAGGGAAGAACAUAUGUGUAAGUAACUAUGCACAUCUUGACGGUACCUAAUCAGAAAGCCACGGCUAACUACGUG
rnacentral:rRNA from 1 species